rnacentral:lncRNA from 1 species
CGUGAGAGGCCCGGAGGGAGCAGGGAAGGUGGAGGGGAGCUUUCCCCGGUGGAGCUGGCAGGAAGAGUCCCAGGCACAAGGAGCGCAUUUUAGAAUUCCAGGACUCGGGAGGAAACCUGCAGGAUGAGGGCUCCCCUUGGGGGCGGCCUGCAUUUCUCAGUGGGAAGGUGGGUGUGGGUGCCCCUCACAUCACCUGGCGUUUAUUUUUGCAUGUGUGAAAUAUAACAACAAUUUCCUAGGGGAAAACGCCCUAGGGUGCACAAAAGUUGUAAAAAUGGGAACAUAUGGUCCGAAACUCACUGCUGAAUAAUGUGCUGUCAUGAAAUUUACUUCAAAAACCCCUCACGGAGUACAAUCUUGGGUAGACGAAAGAGAAAAAAAGUAAAAAUGAAUUUAAAAAUCUCUUA